ACGAACGCUGGCGGCGUGGCUAAGGCAUGCAAGUCGAACGGUCAUACUCAACGGGUAACUGGCGGGUAUGAUAGUGGCGAACGGGUGAGGAAUACAUGGAUAACGUACCCCAGACACAGGAAUAGCGGCGGGGGCAACCCCUUUGCGAAAGUGCCGGUAAUGCCUGAUGACCCCGAUGGAUCGCAUGAUCUGUCGGGCAAGGGUCAGCCGGUCUGGGAUCGGUUCAUGCCCUAUCAGUUAGUUGGCGGGGUAACGGCCCACCAAGACUAUGACGGGUAUCGGGCGUGAGAGCGUGGCCCGACACAUCGGAACUGAGACACUGUCCGGACACCUACGGGUGGCUGCAGCAACGAGUAUUCCGCAAUGGACGAAAGUCUGACGGAGCGACGCCGCGUGCGGGAAGAAGUCCCUCGGGAUGUAAACCGCUGUCAGGGGUGAGGAAUUAAUUGACCAGCCCCAGAGGAAGCACCGGCUAACUCCGU
rnacentral:rRNA from 1 species